GGUUAAGCGACUAAGCGUACACGGUGGAUGCCCUGGCAGUCAGAGGCGAUGAAGGACGUGCUAAUCUGCGAAAAGCGCCGGCGAGGUGAUAUGAACCCUUGACCCGGCGAUGUCCGAAUGGGGAAACCCAGUGUGAUUCGUCACACUAUCGUUAACUGAAUACAUAGGUUAACGAGGCGAACCGGGGGAACUGAAACAUCUAAGUACCCCGAGGAAAAGAAAUCAACCGAGAUUCCCCCAGUAGCGGCGAGCGAACGGGGAGCAGCCCGGAGUCUGAAUCAGCUUGUGUGUUAGUGGAACGGUCUGGAAAGUCCGACGGUACAGGGUGAUAGUCCCGUACACGAAAGCACACUUGCUGUGAACUCGAAGAGUAGGGCGGGACACGUGGUAUCCUGUCUGAAUAUGGGGGGACCAUCCUCCAAGGCUAAAUACUCCUGACUGACCGAUAGUGAACCAGUACCGUGAGGGAAAGGCGAAAAGAACCCCGGCGAGGGGAGUGAAAAAGAACCUGAAACCGUGUACGUACAAGCAGUGGGAGCACCUUCGUGGUGUGACUGCGUACCUUUUGUAUAAUGGGUCAGCGACUUAUAUUCUGUAGCAAGGUUAACCGUAUAGGGGAGCCGAAGGGAAACCGAGUCUUAACUGGGCGUUAAGUUGCAGGGUAUAGACCCGAAACCCGGUGAUCUAGCCAUGGGCAGGUUGAAGGUUGGGUAACACUAACUGGAGGACCGAACCGACUAAUGUUGAAAAAUUAGCGGAUGACCUGUGGCUGGGGGUGAAAGGCCAAUCAAACCGGGAGAUAGCUGGUUCUCCCCGAAAGCUAUUUAGGUAGCGCCUCGUGAACUCAUCUUCGGGGGUAGAGCACUGUUUCGGCUAGGGGGCCAUCCCGGCUUACCAACCCGAUGCAAACUACGAAUACCGAAGAAUGUUAUCACGGGAGACACACGGCGGGUGCUAACGUCCGUCGUGAAGAGGGAAACAACCCAGACCGCCAGCUAAGGUCCCAAAGUCAUGGUUAAGUGGGAAACGAUGUGGGAAGGCACAGACAGCCAGGAUGUUGGCUUAGAAGCAGCCAUCAUUUAAAGAAAGCGUAAUAGCUCACUGGUCGAGUCGGCCUGCGCGGAAGAUGUAACGGGGCUAAACCAUGCACCGAAGCUGCGGCAGCGACACUAUGUGUUGUUGGGUAGGGGAGCGUUCUGUAAGCCGUUGAAGGUGUGCUGUGAGGCAUGCUGGAGGUAUCAGAAGUGCGAAUGCUGACAUAAGUAACGAUAAAGCGGGUGAAAAGCCCGCUCGCCGGAAGACCAAGGGUUCCUGUCCAACGUUAAUCGGGGCAGGGUGAGUCGACCCCUAAGGCGAGGCCGAAAGGCGUAGUCGAUGGGAAACAGGUUAAUAUUCCUGUACUUGGUGUUACUGCGAAGGGGGGACGGAGAAGGCUAUGUCAGCCGGGCGACGGUUGUCCCGGUUUAAGCAUGUAGGCGGAGGUUCCAGGUAAAUCCGGUACCUUAUUAACGCUGAGGUGUGAUGACGAGGCACUACGGUGCUGAAGUGAUAAAUGCCCUGCUUCCAGGAAAAGCCUCUAAGCAUCAGGUAACACGAAAUCGUACCCCAAACCGACACAGGUGGUCAGGUAGAGAAUACCAAGGCGCUUGAGAGAACUCGGGUGAAGGAACUAGGCAAAAUGGUGCCGUAACUUCGGGAGAAGGCACGCUGAUGUGUAGGUGAAG
rnacentral:rRNA from 1 species